GCACCGUUAGCUCAGUGGUUAGAGCGUCCGCCUGUCGAGCGGGUGGCCACCGGUUCGAAUCCGGUACGGUGCGC
rnacentral:tRNA from 1 species